UAGUACCCGGAGGAAGAGAAAGAAAAUUCGAUUCCCUUAGUAGCGGCGAGCGAAACGGGAAGAGCCCAAACCAACAAGCUUGCUUGUUGGGGUUGUAGGACACUCUAUACGGAGUUACAAAGGACGACAUUAGACGAAUCAUCUGGAAAGAUGAAUCAAAGAAGGUAAUAAUCCUGUAGUCGAAAAUGUUGUCUCUCUUGAGUGGAUCCUGAGUACGACGGAGCACGUGAAAUUCCGUCGGAAUCUGGGAGGACCAUCUCCUAAGGCUAAAUACUCUCUAGUGACCGAUAGUGAACCAGUACCGUGAGGGAAAGGUGAAAAGCACCCCGGAAGGGGAGUGAAAUAGAACCUGAAACCGUGUGCUUACAAGUAGUCAGAGCCCGUUAAUGGGUGAUGGCGUGCCUUUUGUAGAAUGAACCGGCGAGUUACGAUUUGAUGCAAGGUUAAGCAGUAAAUGUGGAGCCGUAGCGAAAGCGAGUCUGAAUAGGGCGUUUAGUAUUUGGUCGUAGACCCGAAACCAGGUGAUCUACCCUUGGUCAGGUUGAAGUUCAGGUAACACUGAAUGGAGGACCGAACCGACUUACGUUGAAAAGUGAGCGGAUGAACUGAGGGUAGCGGAGAAAUUCCAAUCGAACCUGGAGAUAGCUGGUUCUCUCCGAAAUAGCUUUAGGGCUAGCCUCAAGUGAUGAUUAUUGGAGGUAGAGCACUGUUUGGACGAGGGGCCCCUCUCGGGUUACCGAAUUCAGACAAACUCCGAAUGCCAAUUAAUUUAACUUGGGAGUCAGAACAUGGGUGAUAAGGUCCGUGUUCGAAAGGGAAACAGCCCAGACCACCAGCUAAGGUCCCAAAAUAUAUGUUAAGUGGAAAAGGAUGUGGCGUUGCCCAGACAACUAGGAUGUUGGCUUAGAAGCAGCCAUCAUUUAAAGAGUGCGUAAUAGCUCACUAGUCGAGUGACACUGCGCCGAAAAUGUACCGGGGCUAAACAUAUUACCGAAGCUGUGGAUUGUCCUUUGGACAAUGGUAGGAGAGCGUUCUAAGGGCGUUGAAGCAUGAUCGUAAGGACAUGUGGAGCGCUUAGAAGUGAGAAUGCCGGUGUGAGUAGCGAAAGACGGGUGAGAAUCCCGUCCACCGAUUGACUAAGGUUUCCAGAGGAAGGCUCGUCCGCUCUGGGUUAGUCGGGUCCUAAGCUGAGGCCGACAGGCGUAGGCGAUGGAUAACAGGUUGAUAUUCCUGUACCACCUAUAAUCGUUUUAAUCGAUGGGGGGACGCAGUAGGAUAGGCGAAGCGUGCGAUUGGAUUGCACGUCUAAGCAGUAAGGCUGAGUAUUA
rnacentral:rRNA from 1 species